UCCCAAACAAGGUCACGUCUCAGGUACCCAAGGUUGUGUCUUUUGCAGUCCACACCAGGCAGUCACUGGAGGGUGUGCAAGAGCCUGAGAUGUCCCCAAGGCCAACUUCACCAUCUGAUCCUGAGUUCCACCCACUUGCUUAGAGUACGACAUUCUGGGCGACCAAGCUCCGAAGGAUCACAUAGAAAAGGGAACACCACCGAAGACUUCCGGGGAGACUUAGGGAAGCCGGUAAGUCGAGGAGCAAAGCGGGCACCUAGGUAGGAGUACAGCAUGGGGCAGAGCCCGCGAGGCAGGUGCUCUUGGCCCUACUGUGCAGCAAAGGAACGGAGAGGCCAGAGAGCGCAGACACACACUCACACCGCCAGUCAGAAGUGCAGCUGGGAUUCACAGAGAGACCUUCCGAAGCAAGAACCUGGCCCCUCGCCAACCCACUGCAGGCUGUUUGCAGCGCUCUGAGGGAGCAGUUUGCCCUCUUGGCACUGCCCACCCUUUGUGCGUCAGCUACCAUGAAUCAUUCCAGAAGCAGGGGCAAAACCCUAGUGGAUGAGCAAGAUCAACACUUGCGCAAAUGUCCAGUCCAACAGAACAUCAAAGAGUAUGCCAGUCCUGCACAAAGGACCUGCAAAUGUCCCUGCUAUUGGUAGAGUCUAAGAACAUGAGCCUCAUGCUUGUGCCCUGUGUAUCAGUCACCUACUGGUUUAAUAAUGCUGUGUAACAAACACAGUCCUUCAGCAUCAUAUAAACUACAAUAAACUUGCAU